AACGAACGCUGGCGGCGCGCCUAAUACAUGCAAGUCGAGCGAGAAGACGUAGCAAUACGUUUGUAAAGCGGCGAACGGGUGAGGAAUACAUGGGUAACCUACCCUCGAGUGGGGAAUAACUAGCCGAAAGGUUAGCUAAUACCGCGUACGCUCCUUGGACUUCGGUUCAGGGAGGAAAGCGAUACCGUGGGUAUCGCGCUCUUGGAUGGGCUCAUGUCCUAUCAGCUUGUUGGUGAGGUAACGGCUCACCAAGGCUUCGACGGGUAGCUGGUCUGAGAGGACGAUCAGCCACACUGGCACUGCGACACGGGCCAGACUCCUACGGGAGGCAGCAGUAAGGAAUAUUGCGCAAUGGGGCGAAAGCCUGACGCAGCGACGCCGCGUGGGGGAUGAAGGUCUUCGGAUUGUAACCCC
rnacentral:rRNA from 1 species